GGGGACUUCCCCCCAGUCCGAACCAGUUUUUCCCUUGCUGCAGCUCGUAAUAAAACUGCCUCUGGCUACUUGUUGCUUACAAACACAGAGUGAGGACAAUGUUUUCUUCCACAAUUUGGUGCCGUGACUCGGAUGGCAAUGCCCGAUUGAAGACAGCGACAGUGGCUGCAGACCGUCCCCCUUCACCUCCAGGGCGCCAAAUGAGAGUUGAACAUCCUGAAGAGUAUCGAGCAUGUUUAAGGGUAGCCGUAGCCUCUUGUUACAAGACUGGGUUCUUCACUCCAGUGUAAAGCAGCGAUAAUGUAGCUGAAAUAAAACCGAGAUGCAGAUACACAGGUCUCUUUUCAACAGUAAAGGACUGUUUUUGGAAGUGCACACACAUUUUAUGAAUGGCAGAAGAGUUUGUAGAGUUUGGAGCUGAAUAUUUCUAGGAAAAGACUGCUUCCUGCAGACUGCUCAGCUGUGGCUUUCUUGGAUGAAGCUCAAUGAAGUUCAGGACUUGAAGUCAAAUUACAUUUGCCAGCAAACAAGCUGAAAUUCACUGCACAUGUGCGUGCAUGCACACGCCUGCACACACACACACACACACACACGCAAAAUCUACUGUAAAACAUGUUGCUUUUUCUUUCUCUCUUUCCCCCUCCUAUUUUAUCUUCCUUGCCAUUACCUCUUUAUUUGAGCUUUAUCAUGUCUCCCAACCUAUCUAACAAUGCAUUGUACAUUUUUGGCAAGAACAAAUGGAACAGUCCUCUUCAUAAUACCAACUAUGCAAUCACUGAGAAUCUACAAAGCAUCAGUAGAAAAUUGAGUGAAGUCAUGCGAAGAUAGCUGCUAACUUGGAUCUGAGAUUCCUGGCCAGUUCAAACAUUUGCAGGCUCUGAACUAGUUGGCAAACUAUCAGUGAGUUGGGGAAGAAAAACAUCAUAUGGUUUUCCCUAGUACUGUAUACUGGUAUUGAUCCAUUUUUAAAGGUAAGUGUACAAACUUUCCAAGACUACCAUGACACAUGGGAUUACUAAAUCAUGUCAGAAAAGUUAUUGGAUACAAAACUCUUUCUUUAAAAUUGUAAUCUUGUUGAAAUGCUUGAUAAUAAUAUUUGCUACAUUAUUGUAUUGUACAGGUUACAGGUAAUAGCAGUCAUAUGUAAAUGUAACUGAUGGAUUUUAAACUAUUAUAAUGUAUCUCAUAUAUGCCUUGAAGCUGUGGACCUCUGAACCUGUAACCUUAGGAUAUUUUCACAGGAGAUUCAUAAUUUUCUAGCAUAUACAACAGUGUAUCAGUAUAUAUAAAUAGGUACAUAUGUGUUGUUAGGGUUUUGUAAAAUUAAUCCCAUCAGGUGUGUCUAAUAUUUAGUAAUCUCGUUAAUCUUUUCAGGAAUAAAAUCAAAAUCAUUUGGUUUUUUGCCCAAAUGAUAAAAUGUAGAUGAGAGAACUUUACCUAGCACUUGAGAGAGAACAUUUUAUCUAGAUAGUAUAAAUGAACAGCUCUCACUGUUCACCACAAAACGUAUUUUUGUUUGUUCAUUUGUUGAUUUCUCUUAAUCCAUUUUCAAAGAAGUGUACACUGGAGAAUAUGAUGCAGAGACAGCUCUAUUAGUUCCCUUACUCAGUGCUGAGUAGCUCCAUGCGUUUUUUCACUGACUUCAGCACAUGCAAAGUUAUCAGAAUGUGCCCCAGAACUUCUAAGACAGGAAAACUAAUUAGUUAAUUAGUACAACAUCCCCUCCUCCCCCCAACAAACCAAACCAACAAAAUUUACCACAUUUGCUUAUAUGGUAGUAUUUGCAGUACUCUGUUUUGUAAGUCUAGGUAUUUGAAAUGCUGCUCCAAAACCCUAGUUUUCGAAAGCAUCAAUAAAAUGUCACAAUACAGUAUUGAAUUUUUCCUUCAGAAUAUCUUUAUCUGUCUCUGUUCUAAUUUGAAAGCACUAGGUCACUGUGCCAAAGGAUUUCAGAGACUGGAUCCAUCCAAUAUACAGAAUGUCAGUGCACACAUCUGACCAGUUGUAAUGCCCAGACCCAUCUAUCACACACCUGUCCAUUGCCACACAAUGGAAGUAGAAAAUACAAAUAUUUUAUAAUGACAGAGAUGAAGCUAACUCAUUAGGGUUCAUUAAACGAGUCUGUAUUUUUUUGUCAUUGGAUGAAAUAAUUCCGUGAAGAAAAAAUACUGUACAAAUGCAGUCAUGUAUCUCACAGCAAUAACCCCACUGAUAUUGCUUCUUACAAACAUUAAGAAAGAGCCUCAAGUACAUUAAACAUAUGAAAGGUACAUACAUUUUCUUUCAGAUCUUUCAGUUAACUUAGUUCCUGUGCAGACUGCUGUAUUGACAACCUUAGAGAACAGUGUCCUCUAUUUAUUCAAAGAACUGACGUAGCACAGGAUGUGACAGAAAAAGCUUCCCCAUGCUGCUCUGCCAGCAUGCCUCAGGCCCAGUCUGGAGUGUGAGAGAGUAGUUUGGUUUUCAUGCCCAUUCAGUACUUGGCCUUCUUGUUGAGACUGACAACUUGCGUCAACUGUGGUGCCAAAGAAGAGUUCAGCCACACUAGGAAAGGGUUAGUCAUUUCAUUGCAUGGGAGCGCUCACUCCCCAAACAGCUCUCCCAUUUACCUCACCUCAGAAUAACCCCGCCUCCUCAUGCUUCAGAGAGUGCUGUUCUCCUAUCCUAGAUAUUGAGGAAGCCAGCAAAAUCCAUUGUUCUAUUAAUUCAUUCCAUUGUUUUCUGGGGGAAGAGGAGGAACCCUGCAUGCCCCCUGCAGUAUUGGCUAGGAAAACAUCAACUGCUGCCCUGUGGUAAACCCCAAGUUCCAAUUCACUCAGCUUGGGCUCAUGCCAAUACGGGGAGAAUGAAGCUGACCUGCUGUCAGUUGUAAUGCCCAGACCCAUCAGAACAGCUGGCAAUCUUUGUUGGGACCAGGACCCAAAGGGGAGAUCCCUUGAGUUGCUAAAGCUUUGUCCCUUGAGCACUGUGAGCUAUAUCUGGGCAAAGUAUGAAAAAAAUGCUUUAGGAUCAGAAUGGUAGCAUUUGAUAUCCAUUUUGCAUUCACUUCAGACACAUGUAAAUGACAGAAUGUGUCAGGCAGCAAAGAAUCAGGCUCAGCAGCCUCACAAGAAUGCUUAGAUAGAAAACAGUACCCAUAUCCUCCACACCACACAACACCAGAGCCUUAAGAUCAAACCAACAUUUCUGGUUCUCCCAGAUGGGACAUCCAUCACUUUCAAGAGUAUAUCAUAGGCUGCAGGCUUGGUAGCAUUGUAUUCACCUUUUUUGAGGGAAGAUGUGCUUUCCUAGGUCCCCUGAACCAUCACUAAAGUAAGACUGCAAGAUCUGGCACAUACAGUAGGCAAGGCUGGGUUCGGUGUUAAUGGGAAUAUUUUUAUAACUCACACACCAUGUUUACUAUGUUACAGUUAUUAAGUAUUUGCUUUACUAUCAUUAGCAAACAGGAUAACAAUACAUAUUACUACUGUACCAACUGCAUAGCUGUAAAUACCUUAACUGAGAGCAUCUAUUCUAAAAUUCAGUCGCGCCAACAACAACAACAAAAGAGCAAAGUAUGCCAUUAUCAGCCAACUCAUUUAUCAAAGAGAGUUUUCAAGACACGAGAGAGCUACAGCAGUAAGGGCCUCAAUUCACAGAAGUGCCAUAAAGUCACUGGAAAGAUUUAUGUAACAAACCUCAUUUCAACCCUCACCCCAAAACAUCAUUAGCUCUAUUUGCUGUUCACAUUCUGCCCUGUUGUUGCUCUUUCUCCGUGCUACUGAAGUGACUCAGAACACAUACAGGACUCUAUUCUUUAGAAAAGAAUUCCAUUUAUUUUGAUUUCAUUUUUAUUAUGAGCACUUUCCCAACUGCUACUGCUCUCUGACCUUUUGGAACAUUGGGCAGGGACAAGAGAAUAGGUAACAUAGUUUGGGUUCUUUUUUCUAAGGUAAUUCCACAGGCCCUCUU